UGCAGGGGGCUUCAGGGAAGAUACUGUGGAGGAAUAUCAAGCUGUAGAAACCCCUACUAGUUUUUAAGGUAUUGUAGAUAAUUGACAUUAAUUAGUCCUUUUUCUCAUAUCCCUUAUAGGACCAAUAUCAUCUAUUGUCGUGUAACUCAGUGUUAAGAUCACAUGCUGAGUUAAUUUUGGCACGCCAAUCUCUUUAUAGGGCUUAUGUCUUGGUUG
rnacentral:lncRNA from 1 species